rnacentral:rRNA from 1 species
GAUGAACGCUAGCGGCAGGCUUAACACAUGCAAGUCGAGGGGCAGCGGGAGUAGCAAUACUUGCCGGCGACCGGCGCAAGGGUGCGUAACGCGUGAGCAACAUGCCCGUAUCAGGGGGAUAAUCCAGGGAAACUUGGUCUAAUACCGCAUAAUAAUCAUUUGGGGCAUCUUGGAUGAUUUAAAAUUUCGAUGGAUACGGAUUGGCUCGCGUGACAUUAGCUGGAUGGUAGGGUAACGGCCUACCAUGGCUACGAUGUCUAGGGGUUCUGAGAGGAAGGUCCCCCACACUGGAACUGAGACACGGUCCAGACUCCUACGGGAGGCAGCAGUGAGGAAUAUUGGACAAUGGGAUGGGAAAUCUGAUCCAGCCAUGCCGCGUGCAGGAAGACGGCCCUAGUGGGUUUGUAAACUGCUUUUGAUGGGAGCAAUAAGGGCUACGUGUAGCCUGAUAGGAGUACCAUACGAAUAAGGACCGGCUAACUCCCGUG